rnacentral:rRNA from 1 species
UCAGCAGCCGCGGUAAUACGGAGGGGGCAAGCGUUGUUCGGAUUUACUGGGCGUAAAGGGUGUGUAGGCGGCCGUGUAAGUCUGGUGUGAAAUCUCCAUCGCUUAACGAGGAGAGUGCACUGGAAACUGCAUGGCUCGAGUAUGGUAGAGGCAAGCGGAAUUCCUGGUGUAGCGGUGGAAUGUGUAGAUAUCAGGAAGAACACCGGUGGCGAAGGCGGCUUGCUGGGCCAUCACUGACGCUGAGACACGAAAGCGUGGGGAGCAAACGGGAUUAGAUACCCCGGUAGUCCACGCUGUAAACGGUGCGCACUAGUUGUGAGGGGUAUCGACCCCCCUUGUGACGAAGUUAACACAUUAAGUGCGCCGCCUGGGGAGUACGGCCGCAAGGUUGAAACUCAAAGGAAUUGACGGGGGCCCGCACAAGA